CGGGCCGGCCCCGCCGCCCCUGGCAGAAGCAGCCGGGGGCCGGGCGAGCGGCGGCCCCGCCCGCAGCGGAAGGGAGAAGACUUCCCUGUGAAUUCAGGGAGAGGAUUGCUUUUGGGAUGACCGAAAGUUCAGAUUCAAUGCCACGUACAAGAUACAGUGAGAUCUGAAUUACAAUAAGAUGCCUCUGCCUACAUCUUCCAUCACAACUGGCUGUCAACUCUCUUGCAAGGCUGUUUUCUAAACCAGUGUGAUGCCUCAGGUGCAGAAGAGAGAGACAAUAAUUAACAAUGUGGCCUACAGCAUCUUGGGGAACAAUUAAUUUUAGUGAAUGGACAGGGGGAGGAAGAGAGAAGGGGAGAAUCACUAAUACAGCACCUAUAAAUCAGUGUUGGGGCAGCGCAUCAUCAGCCUAACUCUUCAGAAACAUGCAAGACAAGUUACGUAGACCGCAGUUUCCAUUGGACAAGAAUAUUUUGAAUCCUUCAAAGGAAAUAAUAAAUUUGGACACAGUAAGCCACAGAUGACUUUUCAUUUUCUUCUUUAAACAUAAAGGCCUGCUGACCUUCUGUGAUAGAUUGCUUCCUGAGAAUACAAUUCAGACAGUGAUUAUUGCUUAAGACACCAUCUCUUUGAAGAGUAUAUUGUGUAAUAAUACAAUAAUGUUCCAUUUCAGGAAACAUCUGUGUGAGACACAUCUGCCUCCUGAUCUCUGGCAAACACUGUGACAAGGGGAAUCAUCUCGGCAUCCAGCAAGUGCCACCUCAUUUGUCACCAUGGUGCCUGUGCUUCCCCCACAGUUCCUCUGUCUCACUUUCUCGGACCCUCAGCUCUGUAUUAGUUCAUAAAAAAAGGGGAUUUGUCUUCACUGUUCCUGAAAUUUUAUUUUUGAGGUUUAUUUUUGAGAUUGGGCUAUCUGUUCUAUGUAGAAGGAAGGACUUAAGGAAAAAUUGAGCAAUGUAUGACUUUAUAGAAUACUUUAUUUAGCUUUUUCAGUUUGUAUGACCGGUGAUUCCUGCUCUUUCUGUCUCUCAUGAUUUACCUUCAUUAAAUGCUCUGAUCCAUGCUUAAAAAACUUCCAUACAGGCCUCCUUCCUUUCUAAACAUCACAUCUCUCUGCACUAAAUGAAGGCAGAAAAGAAAAGCUUCCCAAGGUACAGUGAGCAGAAAGUGUGCAAGUGCAAACCCAGACAGAGGAAAGGAUUAAUUCAAGCCUGAAAGGUCUCUGUAAGCUGGGAAGGUGUGCUAGGAAGGUGUUUAGCACAGAUAAGGACAGGAGACCCAGGGAGACAAAGACUGAAGUUAGGGGGUUUGGGAGGAUUCGUGAAAAGGACACCAGGAAAAAUAGUAAAUAGGGAUUUGACUGAACAAUGCAGUAUCUGUUAGAGAGGUGUUACAGGGGAGCCCUGGCGCUGAGAUCAGGGAGCAGAGGAGCUGGGGAGGAAGGGAGGCAGUCACAGCAGUGCCUGCAGAGAGUGGCAGGUGCUGAGACCAUGAGAAAAGCUGGGCUGUGAGUCCAGGUCCCUGAUCUACCAGCAAACAGUGGAACGACGAUUAAUUACAUCACAACUUGAAAAGUGGUGUUGUUUUCCACCCCUUCAAAUAGAGUCCACUAUUUACACUUGAAUCCACUGAUGGGCAGGAUUUUUUCAAAGACAGAAAUGAAAAACUGAUUUUAAAAAUCCAAAUUCUGUCUCACAAACAUUUCCAAAAAAUAGAAGACUUUGAAAAAGUAGUCUGAUGAGCUAAAAAUCUUGCUGUUUAUACUCAGAUUGAAGAAAGGCUGUCUGGAAGUUUCAUUCUCAUGCUAUUUUUGCAUUUUAUUUGGAAGCCCUUAGGGUCUCAAGCAGAAGCUGUAUGUAAGAGAAAAUGAAAAAUUUAUCUGAAUACAUCUAUCACAAAACCAACACAAAUGCAGGAAAAAAGGUACCUCAGGCUAAGAGAAUCUGGAAAAAUUGAGAAGGAAGGCUACAGGGAGCUCUUUGAAAGGAUUGGUGCUGGUGUUCUCUGGAGCCCUGCGAGAGGGAGCACUAUUUUUUUCUGGAAGAAAACAAAGAGAAUUGCAAAUAUCAUGAACAGACUUAAACAUACUGUCCAGAGAGUUGUACCUCCAUUUUAAGGUUUUUAACUGCCCACAAAACAUAACUUUAAAGAGUGUGAGAUAUGUCUCUAUGGUGAAAAGGAAGCCCUACUCCUUCCUCCUCAGAAUGGAAGCUGUGCUGCAGAGGACCAAAAAAAAAGAGGGGUCUGCUCUUAUAUGCUUAGACCCAUGAAAGCAUGAGGGAGGAAAUCUCUGGCCUUCAGUCCCUCCUGGCAGAGGCACCUGGGCCUGGGAGACAGGAGCAUGUGGUGGUCAUCCUGAGCCUAUCUGCACAUACUGGUUUGAGACAGUUCUCAGGACAACACCCACAUUUGAAAGUCAGUCUCACAAUUUCCAGCAGUAACCUUCUCUUAGUUUUCCCUUUGGACUGGUUUAAGUAUCUCCUUGCUUGGUAAGAUGGGUGUUGUGGAUGCCAUGUGGAUGCUAAUCUGGAAGGGAACACCUGCCUGGCUGGGCUGGCACAGCAUCACUGACUCCUGGUCUGAGUAACUGGAAACUGAGGGUUUGCAGCACUGAGUAUCACAGUGCUGAGGCCUUUCUUGCAAUUGCUUCAAAUCUCUACUCAGCAGCCAUUAAGUCUUCAUGAAUACACAGCAAGCAUAAACUUACAUGCUUUUAUUGCCUCAAGUUCUUCAAAAGUACUGUCUUGAAACACAGUAUGAUGGAGUGGUUUAACAACAAUUAAAAAAGAUAAUCAGGAUAUCUGUUGUAUAUCUGCACUGCUAUAAUUUGUUUAGUGAUACAUCCCCUUACUGUUUGCUCAGCUUCUAUAUGAGUUUAAUUUCAAAUUGACAUUUGGUCUUUUGUCUUUUUGUGGAAAAGCAACCAUGAUAGUAUUUAAUUUCAAAUUUUCUGUUUAAUCUAUCAUUUUAAAAAUAGACCAGAGUUGAGUUCUGCAGUACUUUUAAAAUAAAAUAAUGGUUUCACAAAAUCAUGUUAGCUUGAAGAAAACAUUCAUAUUGUCAUGUUAGUGUUUGCUCAGUGACAUAAUUUGGUUCCCAAAAACUUCUAUAAUUUAUCAUCUGUGGCAAGAGAGAAGAAAGAUCCCCUCUGAUUACAUGCCUGAUGGAAUAAUGUUGUUAGCAUUUCUGUUUCUCUCUCCAGAGGCUUAGGGUCUUUGUUUUGCAGGGGAUAUGGAGGAAUAAAGUAUUCAUAAAAUGGGUGAGAAAAUUAUUUUACAUUUACAAUAAUUGCGUCCUUAUAUUUAUCACUUUCUCAAAUAAAUUUCUUACAAAAAACCCCAAAAGCUUUCUUAGAUGCAAAUGGCAUUUUUCACAUUAACUGUUUCUAGGGUCCCAUGUUAAUGCUUUUUGGAAGCCUAUUGCUCCAUUAGUAAUAGAUGUUCUCACUCUGCCAAGUUAUGUGACAGAUAGUUGAUAGCCAGUGAUGAGCUAACAUACAUAUAUGCUAGACAGGUGCUUUCAUGCCAUUGAAUUACCAUCAUCUGCAUUUCAACUCUGUUUUGGCACCCUAAAAGUACCCAAGGAGAAAACAAUCAACAGUUACAGAACCUGAGAUAGGAAAGGUUACAAUGGAUUCUCAGCCCAAGCAUCUUCCUGGCUGGCAGCUAAUUUUGCUUGCCUAGGCUGAUAAAUAUGGAAAUUCAUCUGCCUGAUGUCAGGUGACUCGAAAGGUGCCUGUGUCUUCCAUGCUUUACAGUCUCAGCUGAUAUCUCACUAAGUGGUACCUUCUGAGAUGAUUUGGGGGCAUGAGAAAACACAUUGUCAAUGAAAAAAUCUGUUGCUGAAAUUCUUACAGAUCCUCAGAAAAAUAUUCCUUUGGCAAUUUCCCUCAGCAACCCAAGACCCUUAAAACCACAGGUUUCAUGUUUUCUACAGUUCUGGUGAUCCUCACCCAGAGCUUUUUCCUUUACCCAUUUCUGUCUGCUUCUAAUGCAGCCCAUUUCUGGAAAAUACUGCUUCUGACCAUGAAAAAGGUCUAUUUCUAGAAAAUUCUUUGGUCUUGCUAUCCCAGAAAGCACUAUACUGGCUGGCUAAAAGUACUGAGGCUCCCAGACCAACAAACAAAAUUCUUUUUAAAACAUUGAUGUGAGAGAGGGCAUAAUUUGGAAUAUCAAAGCCUGCCCUGUCAGAGCCACCCUUGUUGUUAUUUACCAGAGGUCCUUGUCUCCCCUUAGCUUUCCCACUGUACAUGUCCAAGAUCCACUGUUUUAAAAACACUUCUGAGGAAGCUUUAAGAGUCUUAUCAUUUUCUCACUGACAAUUGUUGGUCAACCGCACCAGUUAUUCACAGUGUGAAUUCAUCAGAGAGGCUUUAACAACACUUGCAUGUUUUGUGCUUCAUUUUUUUAUUUAAAUUUGUCCUGCCUUUUGUGCCUUUUUUCCCCACCACUUUCUCCUCUGUCACUUGGCAGUGUGUAAAGCUGUUUCAAUCACUCUGUAGUGUAUUUAUCUGUUGCAGUGAUAAAAGGAUACACUCCCAUCCUUUCAAACUGUCAUUUGCUUAAAAGAAAUGUCAACAGUGCCAAAAUCCAUGAUGCUCAUAGCAUUCACACUUCAGGGGUAGAAUUAAAUGGCUAGAUUAAGACCCAUGUGGGUCAAUUUUUUCAUGCAUUACAGCUAAAUGAAGUUGAAUGUUGCAAAUGGAAAAUGCCUCUUACCAAGCACUUAACAUAAUCUCUUUCUGUUACCUUAGACACCUAGAGAGAGCACACAUCUUGCAUUAUCUCACAUGCUGAAGGUCCAGGGGAAUGUCAGCCACAAGAGCCACUGUAUGGGUUUUCCUACCAGUGCACAGAGGUAAUUCUCAGCACAGCUGUUCUGGGGAGACCUGGGGAAGGAUGGAGGUGGAUUUCAGAAGUCCAGAGAGAAACACCUCAAGGUGCUGCUCUGAAUCCAAAAUAGGCCUCCUAAGCCCUAAUGCUCUUUCAGCAAGUGAUUCACAUAAAGCCCCAGAGGAGGCUGCUCCUUGACAAAAUCCAUGGUGCCAUGUGUCACUUCUGACAGAAGAACAGCUGUCUCCAUAAGCUUCAUUUGAAAAUGGCAGGAAAUCAUUUUGUGGAGAUGGCAGGGUGUUCCAGCUGCUGCAGAUUAGACAAGUCACCUUCAGCACACUUGGUAUGCCAACCUGAACAGGCAGUAAAAAGAAAGUGGAUGAUGAAGCACUACUAAUUUGCAAAACACUUAACCUGUAUGCAAUUAUCAUAUAUAGUGCCCCUAGCAGAUCAGCUCUGCCACUCUCCACUGUUACAAAACAGCAGACCCAUGCUGGGAAUCACCAUAGGACUAAAGCUUCAUGCAACUGGAUUAAAAAGGUAGGAUGCUGUGUAAUUUUCUACAAACCUGCUUAUUUAAUUGGUACUAGCAGAAAAAGCAGUACUCCUCAUUUCCUGAAGAAGUUAGGGAAGCACAAAGCGAAGAAAAGAGCAUUUCCUUUCUAGGCAAAGGUGAUUUGUGCAAAUAUUAAGGGCGAAUGGGUAGCACUGUGUUUUUUUUCUGUAGUUUUUGUUCACAGCAGGAACCUAAGGUCAUUAACUACAGAUAGAAUAUACUUCCUAUUUCACAGCCAAGAUUACUAAUAGAUCAGAAACUGCAAGGGUUCAGAAAGUUGUAAUGAUUUGACUUUUUUAUAAAUCUGUUCACUGAAGUGGAUGCUUUAAGGAAGAACAAGUGCACUACCUAAAUCAUAAAUCAGUGGGGUUUAUUUAUUGUUUGAAUUAAAACAAAUAAUACAAAAAUUAGGUAGUAGAUCUUUUUCUGCUUUUAUAAGGUGGUUAAAGACUGUGCCCUCUGGCAUUUGUUGGACUUCUAGUUUCUCAAAUUUUCUGAUUUUCAUCUUAAGUACUUUCUCUCUAUACUAGAAAUAUGUAAGUGCAAGACACAUGUCUUACCUCUAAGUCUCCAAUAUGGGGGUUUUAUGAAUUAUGAAAGACCUGGAAAUGAGCUUCAGGUCUGAAUUAUGUGUUUACCAGCAGAAAAAGUUUAUGAGAAUUACCCAUUCUGUUUUUAUUGCCAAUUUGAACUACCUACAGGUCUUUCUUCUCUCCUGCCCAUCAACAGCCAUUCUUGGAGAGCUAAAUAAAUUACAGGUGCAGUUUGGGUUCUGCUGCAAUAGAAAACACCACCCUGGUAAAUGUUGAGAAAUGCCAGGAGCUGUAUUGACUAACUCCUUUGCUGGAGUCUCAAACUGAGCACCACCCUCAGUGCAGGUGAUACCCAUUUCCAUGUUUCCCUGGAGAAAGGGGAUUUAUUUCCAGAGUCUGCUGUUCCAUGGAUCUUGAGGGAACUGCAGUUCUGAGGACUGUUUUCUGUUUUUCAUCCACCUGCAACAAGUCUCACCAUCUCCAUUAAAAUCACAAAAGAAACAAACAAAAAAGAGUUUUGGCUUAUAAUUUUUUAUGGUCUUGGCUAGGGUCUUUAUUGGACAGUUGCAUACCUGUGCCAGAGCUGAGAUCUCCUCAUGCCAGGUGUAGAGGCAAUGGAUACUGCAGACACCCCUGAGCAGUAGGUCUGAAGGGCUGGCCAGGUAUAGACACAGAUUUAACCAACAUCCCCCAGACCUUCAGUUCACACAGGCUCCUCGUAUUUGGGGGUUAGCCUCUAUUUUACAUUUUUCUUAUCUCAAAUUCUGUUGCUCCAAGCAUUUCUUACUAAUGGCCUCAGCCCUGACACAAAGAAAAUUGUUUUCUGAAUGGUGAUAAAGUGAUGCCCCUGAGGGAAACAUGGUGAUAUUGCUCCUCCCUCUGUCAAAAGAGAUUCUGGGCAUAAAGUAUAUCCUUUACACCAAAAAUAAAAACUGCUGCAAGUGGAAUCACCAGAAAUGUCAUUUAUACCAGGGAGGAUAACCUGCAGCUGUUCAGGGCUCCUGUAUGAAUCUUUUGUUUGUUUUUGUUCCUCAUUGUAGCGAUGAGACACAAAUAUUUGAGCCUUGCAGGCUGGAGGACCUGGGUAUCAUCAUUAAACAGGCACAGGAAGAAGUGGUACCUGUGCCAGGUAAUCACACUUGGCCUGAGCCUGGAAAUCCCACCACAACUAUUGAACAUACCGAAGAAUUUGGCAGCAGAUUCUCAGGGUUACCCCAGAGGACUUCUGCUGCUUGAGCCAUGUGUAACUACAUUUGGUUCU